rnacentral:lncRNA from 1 species
GUAAUCAAACAGCACUCCUUUAUAAAAGCAUAAACAGUAAAGAAUCCUAUUCUCUUUCCACCAGCAGCCACCUGGAUGAGGAAAAGCUAUCGAAAUAAUCCACAAGGUCAAAGAUAUCUGUUCAGGGAGAAGGCCCCUUUUCUUUGACUGCCAUCUUGACUGCAGGCCUGCUGCCCUUUCUUGUUAAUUGAGGUGUCAUUCAGCAAGAGAUACUCUGGUUAAUAAACCUUCAAGAAAGGAACGUUGUAACUUUAGACAGCUCCAAGUACCAAAUCCAGAGAGGCAAGACCUCCGAAUGAAACUACUUUGUCAAGGGGAGUUCUUAGUGGACACUGAUAAUUCUUGCAUUUGAUACGAAAUGAAGGACAAAGAUAUUGAAGACUGACUGAUGAAGGAGAAUGAAGCAUACCUAUGUGAAUAACUGGAAGUCCUGGUCUCAGCAAUGUUCCAGGUGGGUAAUCAGGGGCCAAACAGCGCUGCAGCUGCUUCCCCGGGCUGUUUGGUAGCUGCUCCACACUGAAGUCCUGCUCUGCUUGUGUUCCUGGAGCAUGGAUCUGCUGUGGGACCUUUUUAUCCGAACUGGUAAAGUAAUCCUCUCUCUAUGGAGAUUAUAUGAUUGAUAUGAUGGUAUUGCCUCAAUUUAGAUAAGUUUUGUUCAAUUCUGAAUCCUGCGAAGUCUGAAAGAUAGCUUACAUUGCUGCAUGAACACUUAGGUCUCAAGGAAGGGAAGAGUGCAUGAAGGUCCUAAAGCUUUUUGAGGGACUGUACGUAGCUCUAGCAGUACUGCACAGCCCCUGGGGGUGAGUUCAUCUGUGCUUGUGUUUACACGCCGUGCUCAAGGGGAGGACGGGACUUAGAUGAGGGGCAGUCUAGGCUUUUAGCAUAAAUUCCUGCUUGGUCUGCAAAUGGUUGCAAGCCUCAUUUGUCUCUGUCUGAGCGGCAGUUUGAGGAAAGAGACUCAAGCAUGAAAUCUGAUGCAGUAUUUGCUGAGCAGCUGACAUGGUGAGGGGAGAAAAAGCCUGAGGACAUUCAGUGAAGUUUUGUGUUGGUAAAGUACUUGGGUAGUUUUGUACCACCUCAGGGCUGAUUUUGCUGCAUAAACCAUCUGGCUGCUGCUGAUCAGCCAGAUACUGUGCAGCCUAUGAACUAUAAUGUUGUUUUUACUUCAGACAGCCUGAAACUGGAAAAUCUUAGACCAGAUUCUUUGCUAAUUUGAACAGAACUUCAACCUCAGAGUGGAGCUAACAAGCUCAAAUACAUAUAGUUACUUAAUAAUUUUUGAGACUGCUUUGUUUACUUCCAGGACUUACAUAGGUCUUGGGGGGGGGGGGUUGUUUGCUUCCCCCCCCCCCUUUAAUUUUGUCCAGUGAUCUUUGCUUCCUCUAACUAAGCAGGAGUCUUUGUGCAGCUAAUGUGUAUUAAAACCAGAAGUGCAUAAAGUUUCAGGAAUAUUAAAAAACAGAGAAUAGCAAGAGAGCAAAGAUGAUGAUGAAUAGUACAGUGGGAAGACCUAGAGAUGUGAGAGAGGUGCCUUUGUAAAGAAGUGUGAAAAAGGAAGUUUGUUUUUAGUGUAGGAGGGGGAGAGCAGUACCCUUGCUAGCUUGGUAGCCCCUGCGUGUUUGGUUGGCCCACUAAAGCAUGAGGAGUCAGGGAGAGAGGAGCGAAAGAGAUCAGCAAAGUUCAGGAUUUUAAGACAUAGGAAGAAAUAAACAUUAUCAUUGUAUUAUUAUAUUAGUAAUU